rnacentral:tRNA from 1 species
CGAGGCGUAGCGCAGCUUGGAAGCGCACUCGGUUUGGGACCGAGGGGUCGUGGGAUCGAAGCCCACCGUCUCGACCA